CGGGACGGGGUGGAGUAAUGUCUGGGAAACUAGCCUGAUGGAGGGGGAUAACUACUGGAAACGGUGGCUAAUACCGCAUAACGUCGCAAGACCAAAGAGGGGGACCUUCGGGGCCUCUUGCCAUCGGAUGUGCCCAGAUGGGAUUAGCUAGUAGGUGGGGUAACGGCUCACCUAGGCGACGAUCCCUAGCUGGUCUGAGAGGAUGACCAGCCACACUGGAACUGAGACACGGUCCAG
rnacentral:rRNA from 1 species